GACGAACGCUGGCGGCGUGCCUAAUACAUGCAAGUUGAGCGCUGAAGGUUGGUACUUGUACCAACUGGAUGAGCAGCGAACGGGUGAGUAACGCGUGGGGAAUCUGCCUUUGAGCGGGGGACAACAUUUGGAAACGAAUGCUAAUACCGCAUAAAAACUUUAAACACAAGUUUUAAGUUUGAAAGAUGCAAUUGCAUCACUCAAAGAUGAUCCCGCGUUGUAUUAGCUAGUUGGGGAGGUAAAGGCUCACCAAGGCGAUGAUACAUAGCCGACCUGAGAGGGUGAUCGGCCCAAUUGGGACUGAGACCCGGCCCAAACUCCUACGGGAGGCAGCAGUAGGGAAUCUUCGGCAAUGGACGAAAGUCUGACCGAGCAACGCCGCGUGAGUGAAGAAGGUUUUCGGAUCGUAAAACUCUGUUGGUAGAGAAGAACGUUGGUGAGAGUGGAAAGCUCAUCAAGUGACGGUAACUACCCAGAAAGGGACGGCUAACUACGUG
rnacentral:rRNA from 1 species